rnacentral:tmRNA from 1 species
GGGGUUGACUGGAUUUGACAGCGUGGCUAAGUGGUAUGUAAGCAUGCAGUGCGUGGUUAAUUGGCACUAUAAUCUCAGUUUUCAAAAUUUUAUCUGGCAACGAAAAUUAUGCUCUCGCUGCUUAAUCGAAGUAUAGUAGAUUAACUUUAUUUCUACCAAAGUGGUAGAAACGAGAUGUCACUCAAAAGCUCUUGUUCCGAAGCGUUUGAUAAAGUGGCACAGCAAAAUCGGGAAUAGGAUGGAUUCCGCCUCGUGAUUCUUCCGAAAUUUUAGAGGAUAAGGCAUAGGUGGGUGGCUUUGGUCUUGCUUAUGCACGAAAAUGAAGGCAAAGAUAAGCAUGUAGAAAGCAUAUGGCUUCUGCGUUUGGACGAGGGUUCGACUCCCUCCAGCUCCACAG